CAAACUCCUCAGUAGCAAGGCAUACAAUGACACCGAAAACCCACCCCAGGAUGCACUGUGGCCGCUUCGGACAGUGGUCUCAAUUGCCACUGCGAGAGAUAGUGCAUUACUGCAUUCAACCAUGCAAUUUAGUGGGGCCCAGCUUUCUUAUCACAAUGCGAUUAGCAAAAGAACGAAUAUUUUUUUUAAAUAGUUUGGUAAUAAAACCAUCUAACAAUUAUGCAGUGAUUUCACCAUCAAGGGGACCAUCCAGUUACAUUAAAAUGUAAAA